rnacentral:tRNA from 1 species
GCUGCUGUGGCUCAGUUGGCAGAGCAGCUGAUUCGUAAUCAGCAGGUCGCCGGUUCGAAUCCGGCCAGCAGCUCCA